AUUGACACCCCCGUAUGUCACCCAUCAGCUCACCGCUAAGCUCGCUCUCUCACUUGGGCUUCAUUUGUCUGCAUGCCAGCCUCCUCCUCCCUCUCUCCUGCUCUCCCUCUCUCCCCCUCUCUCUCUCUGCCGGAAAGCAGCAGCUUGGAGAGUUCUGCAGUUCAAACAUUAAGCGCUUCCUGGAAACGUCGCUUUUCACGGAGCCGGAUCCCCUGCUCAGAGCUCAAAAUCUGCCACAAACGCAACCAGAGCGGAGAUCCCCACCCGAGAAGCCAGAGACACGCGUGCUGACUUCCAGCAGGGAGCCCGUAGAGUUUUAUAUAUAUAUAUAUAUAUUAAAUCCCACCUAAUCCUUGCAAGUGAAAGAAGAGUCUGAACUUUUAAAAUCUCUUUGUAAUAAUAGGAAUAAUAAUUCAUAAUUAAUACACCCUGGUAGCCCUCCUUUUUAAGAGGGUCUGAUUCAAAUAAAAGUCUUGAGUUUGUUUUUGUUUUUUUAUAAAAGCAGGGUGACAAAUGCAACGAAGCCACCCAGAAAAUACAGAAAUCAGGCCAAUGAGUCUCCAUUCUGAAAUGAUCCCUUGAAAGGUCCCGAUGCCAGCCCCUCAGCGUGACUUUUAUCUGCGUGCUCCUUCGACGACACCUUUUGGGCAGGCACCAGCAGUUUAGUCGGAGAUUCGGACAUUGCGGCAGUUCUAAUUAGGGGGCUUGACGGUUGUUGCUAUUUGUUACUGU